AGCGAACGCUGGCGGCAGGCCUAACACAUGCAAGUCGAACGGAUCCUUCGGGAUUAGUGGCGGACGGGUGAGUAACACGUGGGAACGUGCCCUUUGGUUCGGAACAACUCAGGGAAACUUGAGCUAAUACCGGAUGUGCCCUUCGGGGGAAAGAUUUAUCGCCAUUGGAGCGGCCCGCGUCUGAUUAGCUAGUUGGUGGGGUAAAGGCACACCAAGGCGGCGAUCAGUAGCUGGUCUGAGAGGAUGAUCAGCCACAUUGGGACUGAGACACGGCCCAAACGCCUGCGGGAGGAAGCGGUGGGGAAUCUUGCGCAAUGGGCGAAAGCCUGACGCAGCCAUGCCGCGUGAAUGAUGAAGUUCUUAGGAUUGUAAAAUUCUUUCACCGGGGACGAUAAUGACGGUACCCGGAGAAGAAGCCCCGGCUAACUUCGUGCCAGCCGCCGCCGUAA
rnacentral:rRNA from 1 species